rfam:Brachypodium distachyon strain Bd21 chromosome 3, whole genome shotgun sequence.
AUCAUACUUUCUCCGUCCAACAAAAGAUGUCUCAAGUUUGUCAAAAUUUGGAUGUAUCUAAACAUGACUUAGUGUUUGGUGCAUUCAAAUUUGGUCAAAGUUGAGACAUCUUUUAUUGGACGGAGGGAGUAAUAU